CCAUGAUGGCCACGCGGUCACAUACAGCCUCUGCCUCUGCCAUGUAAUGUGUGGUCAGGAGGGCACCCCUCUCUGUGUUUGUAAAGGUGGCCCGGAUCGCCUGCCUAAGGUUAGGUCAAGGAGAGCCGCUGAUUAAAGAGAAUUCUCAAGGAAUCGUAGAACCUUUUAAAGAUGUUUCCAUUAGCACACAGGCAAAACAAGAAGCGCAUCCAGGAGAAAUCAAAACCAAGGAAACCAUGCUGAAAGCCAGUUUUUACACGAUACAUAAAUCUACAUGAGUACUGCUCCUGAGAUCUUACCACAUUUGCUGCUGCCCCUCAGGGUCCAUCCCAGUUGACGGCUCAUCCAGAAGCACCACAGACGGGUUUCCCAGGAUGCUCAGCCCAAAACACAGCUGCAACAAGAGGAACAACCCGUCUAUCAUCAGCCUGCGGGAUGCAGACUUGUGGUCACUGCAUACCUACGGACAUCAAGUGAUGAACUGUAAGAGCAAAAGAACCCCCAUCUCCCAGCUUUGAAGAGAAUUAAGAUUGGAAUGUUUCUCGUCUAGCUGGCAGAAUUGUUUGAGGAAGAAAGGAAGAAUACUUUUAUGAGCUCCACCUCUUCCAUCUGUAGGGCAGUCACAGCACCUGCAGUUCUCAUUCUUUCCAUCUGAACAUCUUCAUCCUCUUCUCUGGGUUCUUCUGGGUUUGGAAAAGCAUUACAGCUUCUUGGAGAAAUUCUAAAAUCCAAACAGUGUGUUAAACUUAUCAGGUAUUGAAAUAGACGACUGGGAACAGCACCACUCCGGUCUUCUGCUCUAUU